UACGUAGGGUGCAAGCGUUGUCCGGAAUUACUGGGCGUAAAGAGCUUGUAGGCGGUUUGUCGCGUCUGCUGUGAAAAUCCGGGGCUCAACCCCGGACUUGCAGUGGGUACGGGCAGACUAGAGUGUGGUAGGGGAGACUGGAAUUCCUGGUGUAGCGGUGAAAUGCGCAGAUAUCAGGAGGAACACCGAUGGCGAAGGCAGGUCUCUGGGCCACUACUGACGCUGAGAAGCGAAAGCAUGGGGAGCGAACAGGAUUAGAUACCCGU
rnacentral:rRNA from 1 species